rnacentral:tRNA from 1 species
UCCCGUGUGGCUCAGUUGGUAGAGCAUGGUGUUUGCAACGCCAGGGUUGUGGGUUCGAUUCCUACAGGGGGGG